rnacentral:tRNA from 1 species
AAGGGAGACCUAAUUCGGGUAUAAGACGAAAAAAGAGUAGUCGAAACCAAGAAUCAAUCCCAAAAGGUCGGAACGAGGUAUGUGGCUUUCAAACUAGGUUCUGGGUUCACACAAGACCUGAAUCAGGAACAAGGGCUAUUAGCUCAGGUGGUUAGAGCGCACCCCUGAUAAGGGUGAGGUCCCUGGUUCGAGUCCAGGAUGGCCCACCCGCACAGGUGGCAAAAACAAAGAAGCGAGGAAUCAGCACCUUAUCUUAUCUAUAUAUAAGAGAGAAUGCUGGCUCUGAGUAAAGAGUCCAGAGGAACCUUGAAAACUGCAUAGAGCUAGGUGAAAAAGCCAAAAAAGAAAACCGCAA